AUAAAUACGCGAAUCGCAUCUUUGAACUUUCGUAAUUUCUUUUACUCGUAUAUAUUCCAACUUAUGCGUUUCCCUCUAUUCUAUAACGCUAUCCUUUUCAACCAGUUCCAACAGACAUUCAUGUCCACGACAGACCGAUCCACCAGUCUCGUCAUUUAAUCAAUAUUUUCCGCAGCUACCUUUAUUUCGAUAAUCAAUUUAGCACAGAAUUGUGAUGAAUAAUAUAUCUACCACGGUUAAAAUG